GAGGAGGAGAGAGAAAAUUAGGAAGAAAAUAGCUUUGUAUUUAGUUUGGUCUAAUCAGGAACACAAUACAAUGUAUAUAUAUAUAAGGUCAAUAUGACCCAACCCAAAAACCUCCUGACUAACUCAAUACAUUAAAACACACAUCCAAACCCCAUGUACACCCAUGGUCUUAUAUGUUCUCAUAUCUUGGACUCAACCUAGUCUAAAAAAUAAGUUAGCCUCUUGAGGCCCAAGUUUCCUGAACC
rnacentral:lncRNA from 1 species